rnacentral:rRNA from 1 species
AGGACGAACGCUGGCGGCGUGCUUAACACAUGCAAGUCGAGCGGAAAGGCUUCCCUUCGGGGAAGUACUCGAGCGGCGAACGGGUGAGUAACACGUGGAUAAUCAACCUCUUGCUCUGGAAUACCCCGGGGAAACUCGGAUCAAUGCCAGAUAAAGUGCGGUGCUGUUGGGCGCCGUACCAAAGAUAGCUUCGGCCUUCGGCGAGAGACGAGUCCGCGGCCCAUUAGCUAGUUGGCGGGGUAAUGGCCCACCAAGGCUACGAUGGGUAGCUGGUCUGAGAGGAUGAUCAGCCACACUGGGACUGAGACACGGCCCAGACUCCUACGGGAGGCAGCAGUAGGGAAUCUUGGACAAUGGGCGAAAGCCUGAUCCAGCCAUGCCGCGUGAGUGAAGAAGGCCUUAGGGUUGUAAAGCUCUUUUGGCGGGGACGAUAAUGACGGUACCCGCAGAAUAAGCCCGGCUAACUUCGUGCCAGCAGCCGC